GAUGAACGCUGGCGGCGUGCCUAACACAUGCAAGUCGAGCGAUCUUCUUCGGAAGAGAGCGGCGGACGGGUGAGUAACGCGUGGGUAACCUGCCCUGUACACACGGAUAACAUACCGAAAGGUAUGCUAAUACGGGAUAACAUACUUUUAUCGCAUGGUAGAAGUAUCAAAGCUCCGGCGGUACAGGAUGGACCCGCGUCUGAUUAGCUAGUUGGUAAGGUAACGGCUUACCAAGGCGACGAUCAGUAGCCGACCUGAGAGGGUGAUCGGCCACAUUGGAACUGAGACACGGUCCAAACUCCUACGGGAGGCAGCAGUGGGGAAUAUUGCACAAUGGGCGAAAGCCUGAUGCAGCAACGCCGCGUGAGCGAUGAAGGCCUUCGGGUCGUAAAGCUCUGUCCUCAAGGAAGAUAAUGACGGUACUUGAGGAGGAAGCCCCGGCUAACUACGUGCCAGCCGCCGCCGUAA
rnacentral:rRNA from 1 species